rnacentral:rRNA from 1 species
CCUACGGGUGGCAGCAGUGGGGAAUAUUGCACAAUGGGCGCAAGCCUGAUGCAGCAACGCCGCGUGAGGGAUGAAGGCCUUCGGGUCGUAAAGCUCUGUUCACAAGGAAGAUAAUGAAGGUACUUGUGGAGGAAGCCCCGGCAAACUUCGUGCCAGCAGCCGCGGUGAUAUGGAGGGGGCUAGCGUUAUCCGGAAUUACUGGGCGUAAGGGGUGCGUAGGUGGUUUAUUAAGUCAGUGGUGAAAGGCUACGGCUCAACCGUAGUAAGCCUUUGAAACUGGGGAACUUGAGUGCAGGAGAGGAGAGUGGAAUUCCUAGUGUAGCGGUGAAAUGCGUAGAUAUUAGGAGGAACACCAGUUGCGAAGGCGGCUCACUGGACUGUAACUGACACUGAGGCACGAAAGCGUGGGGAGCAAACAGGAUUAGAUACCCCGGUAGUC